CUCUCGCGUCACAAUAAUGUGCUCUCGACAAUUGACAGUAAAAUAACGCCAUAGGGGACCCAACAGCAGAAAACAUUGCGAAAGCCAAAGCUGGAAACGUAAAGGUGUCACUACCCUGGCUGACAUGCAAAAAGGAAAAUCCUGACCCUGAUGGCCACCCUAUUACUGGUUCAGCAGAACAUUAUGUUCUGUAUGACCGGCUACUGCGGUCACGCCAUCUGCGCUUCGGAGAAACGCGGUCACGCUAUCUAUGCUUUAAAUUGUACUGCGCGUCUACAUGAGGUUGCGUGGUAGGUGUUUUGUGUCGGUAGAAAUAUUUUAAAAAUUCAUUAAAAAAAUAAAUAAAAUCAAACUGUUUACUGCAAACUUCACAUGAUUCUUGUUCUACAUCUCCCCAAGAACCACUGUGGUGAUUUUCAUGUUCUUUUACUGUUUUAUUUGGUUGAGUUGAUUAACUGAAUGCUCUCCACCUGUGCUAAUUAGUUUUAUUAUCUGAACCUGGUCCUCCCAAACUUUGUAAUUUGGAGUUUGACAGACAGACUUUUUUUUUCAAACAGGUGUUUUUUAUUAGUGAAGUUCACAACGUAAUUUCGGGAGGAGUGAACCCAUCUAAUAUUUCAAUUAGUGAAACUUAAAACAUAAUCUCAAGAGGAGGGAACCCUAAUCUUUCAAUUACAUCCAGAGCAUAUAAGCAGCUACUCACCCUGCUCUGGCAUCAGUUGUUUCGAUAUCCCUCCACCUCCCCAACUCCACCACAUAAAUUAAGCAUCUCAUCUAUCUUACUCCUCUUCCAUGCACUAGUAGUCCCUGGGGGGAAUAUCCAAGCUCGAGUUGAAGCUGCUUCCUUGAGCCCCUCCACAGCGGACAGCAAGCCAAAUACGCUUAACCUUAUUAGCUUAAAGAUUUUAUGAGGAAACAAACUCGUGAAUAAACAGGUGAGUGCUAAAAUCAAUUUAGAUUGAUGGCGCUUAGCUUGAGCAUUAACAGUUCUUGGUUUGUUGCAGGUGCUGAUGUCCAUGUGGUGCUGGCUUGGAGAAGACUGGAACUGAAGACUGAAGACCAUACCACACCACAAUUAUGCAAAGUUCCAUGGACAUUGGUGGAGAUCAUUCCACCGAUCCAUUUUCAGACCUCGUUCAGGCAGUUUGUCACUCAUUCACCUGUUGCUACUUCAAGCUCCACUGAGUUUCUGUCAGCCUCUACUCCGGCUAUCAUCUGCAAACCAAUGGCACCAGACUCACAGCAUUCCAGUGCAUCCUUGGAUAACAGCCUCCUCUGUUCCCCUGGUUUUGCAAACCAUUGGAGGUUCCAGCUGUCAAUCAUUGUUUCCAGCAGAGCAAGAGGAAGUGGGACUCAGCAGACAUGCAUCUCCAACAGGCAGUGCGGAGACACAAGACAAUCUGACGCUCCCAGCAGAACAUCGACUCAGUACCAACCAGGUCAGAAGGUGUGGCUCUCUGCACGGGACAUCCGUAAGCUGAGUCCCUGUUAUGUAGGUCCCUUCACUGUGCAGAGGCAGAUCAACGAGGUCCAAUACAGGAUCUGGUGGUGAUGAGAUACCUCCUCCUCCUGAACUGGCUGACGACGAGGUCAUCUACCGGGUCCACUCCAUUAUCGACUCGCGCCGACGGGGCAAUCGUAUCGAAUACCUCAUUGACUGCACCAAGAUGUAGAGGCAGGCCCCAUCAUCGCACCAUCUGGACAUCAGGAGCCGCUCGUGGAGGAGGGGGUACUGUCAUGGAGUUGCAACCAUCUCAGACACCAUUCUGCCCAUCGUCACCAGACCAGCACGUUCUGCCAGCUCAGUCACUCUCCCCAGAAUUCUGAUUCACUACACCUGUACUCCCUUAUCAACACACCCCAUAUAUUCCAUCACAUCCUGCACUCCUUUGUCUGGUCUUGUCAUUCCCAUGCGAACAGACUCCUUUCCUGCUACUCACCUGUGUACUUACCUGCCGCCAAGGAUCCUGUGUUCUGUCGUCUGCUACCAGCCCAUCGAGUGUACCUACCAGUCCUCCUCCUGCAUCUGCCAUAUUACAUUCCAAAAUUUGAUUUCAUAUUUUUAUGAAUUUUUAAAAUUGGUCUGUAUAGAGAAGGAAAUAGUGUAUGACUUCGGUAUAUAAUUAUUAAAGAACAUUUUAUGAAUUUUUAAAAUGUGUCUGUAUAGCAACAUAAACCAUAUUUGUCAUAACUUUGGCAUGUAAUUAUUAAAUAAUAAAACGGUAAAAGAACAUGAAAAUCACCACAGUGGUUCUUGGGGAGAUGUAGAACAAGAAUCAUGUGAAGUUUGCAGUAAACAGUUUGAUUUUAUUUUUUUAAUGAAUUUUUAAAAUAUUUCUACCGACACAAAACACCUACCACGCAACCUCAUGUAGACGCGCAGUACAAUUUAAAGCAUAGAUGGCGUGACCGCGUUUCUCCGAAGCGCAGAUGGCGUGACCGCAGUGACCGGCUCCAUGAGGACAACACAAAGGACGCUCGAGAUUCACUGCGGGAGCUUCGCCUGGUCCCGCAACUGGCUGGAAAAGUUAAUAGCCAAGUCGAGGAACAGUUGUUUGCAAAACUAAAAAAAAAACAAAAAACUACUUCCUAAACAUGGCUUUGCCGUCGACUCAUGUGUUCCUCAUGCGAAACAUAAUUCACCAUUACAAUAUUCGCAGAAGAAGAACGACUUGACCACAUGAAAAAGGAGUUUCAGACAAACAUUCUAAUGAAUGUCCACAGCCAGGCUGUUUUCGGUCAUUUUUCACUGUACUUGUGCACUUUUGUUAUGAAUGUGACACUUUAUUACUCAUUGGACUGAUCUGUUCACGUUUUUGUAGAACAUAUAACAUCUGAGGAAUCCAUGGAUGUGUCAGUAGGUCAGUAAAUUGUUGUGUCCAGUCCCCUCCCUCAGGUGGAGCUACACAAAUUACUUGCUCACUAAGUGCAAACAGGCACACUAACUUAGAAAUUUAGAGCAAAGUUUAUGAUUUCUAAGCUUGUUUUUUUCAGUAGCAGUGCCAGACACCAUUUUAAAACCCUCAGCAACACCAGCAACCAUUGCGAUCCCUGCAGUGAGUGAGACUGCAUCACCAGAAGCCGCUGCUUUGGGACCAACAACCCUGUUGGAAUAUUUUUCACCAGUAAAGCCAUGGGAAAGGGACUGGCAUCCAGUGCAAGAAAAACUGGUCAAAUUAUUAUUGUUGAAAUUGAAUGUGCAUGCAUUUGCAGUCGAGCACUAUUGUUUGACUAACCAUUUUUUUUAUAGCUUGAUCACGUGCUGGAUGUCAAUCGGCCUGGAGCUGAAAUUAUUGUCAAGGAUUGUCCAUCUAUGAAUUUAGACAUGCAGUUUCAGGCUCUAAUUUGGGCUAUGUUCCUUUAGCCAUUUCUAGCUUUUGUUCUACUAUACAAUUAGCUUUGUUCAGAGUUUAAAGGCCAUGUUUUAUUGCCUUAACUCUUUGUUCUCCUAGCCAUUUCUUGCAUGUUUUGGCUACGUUCAUUUAGCCUUUUUUGCGUGAUGUGUCUGUUCUCAGGUUACAGAUGAGCUGUCAUUUAAAUUUGAUCAAUCAUAUUCAUGUUUUUUUCUACAGACAAAUUGCCAACCAAAUUGAUCCGGGGAUCUGGACAGAAAUGACUGGAAAGGAUUUUUCGGCUUUGCCACGUCAGACAAGAGGGAAUGACUGUGGUGUUUUUGUGCUGAUGUACACCCUCUCAAUGGUCUGUGACAUCGAGUUCGAUUUCCAGGAGGUUGACUUGCCCAUGAUUAGAAAAUGGUGGUGCCUUGUGCUAAUGGAACGAUUUCAAAUUGACGGCUAUGGGCGCAGGUUUGCCUUCUGGACAGACGAGGAAAAAUGCUUAUUGGAGGCAAAAACUCAACCUCUGUAUAGGUUAAAAUGAAGCAGAAGCACCACACAUGAUGUCCCACAGCACGUCCAAGCAGUCCAAGAUCGGACAAGAACCGAAGAAGCACUGGUGGACUGCAUUGUGACUUCAAAGGGAACAGAGCAGCAUUUAGAGGAUGUUCUCAAUGGGAAACCAUCAAAGUGGUUCCCCCUAAAGCCACGUGUGCCAGUACACAUGGACAGUGAGCAGGUGUGUGUUAUUCUUUCUGAACACCUCAAAGCUCUGCUGCAUCCUUCUAAAACUCAACUCAACUUCACAGAUGAAGCGGAGUUCAUUUGUAGUUUUCUUUUUCCUGAGGCCAUCAUUCAUGGCCUAUGUGAGCUGCAGGCAUUAUCCUGACAGGAGGCUGAGGAGGUGUUCCUCCGUGGCCCUACUUAUCACCCUAGUGAAGUUGAGGAAUUUGACAGGGUGAUUGCAAAACGAAUGAGAAAAGAAGCAACAUUCACCUACCAGAAACAAGAUGACGGUGAUCAAGGUGAUCGUUAAAUAAAGUACAGAAUUGUUUAUUAUUGGUGUUUUGUCUAUUCUUAUUUGAGUUUUGCUUCACAUUAAAAUAUCAAAAAACUUUGUAAUGUUAGCAUGGUAUAAUGUUAAUUAGACCAUUAUAGGUUGAACUGAAAGAAAAAUUGGAAUUUGGAUAAAAAAAAAAAAAAACAUUGUAGCAAUAUAAUAUCACAUAAUAUUUUUCAGAAGAUGGUUCAAUCUGUAAUUGUAUCCCUUUCUUUCAAUUACACCCACGCUCAAAAAAUAACUACUGGGUAAUUUGUUAGUUUGAGAACACGAUGAGGUUUUUUGGCACAUGCAUUAAGCAGAGAACGCAAAUAUUUAUUUGGAUAACUUUAAAUAAAAAGAGACCGCGUCCUAUAAUGUUUUCAAUGGCAUUUGGAUAAGGGUGUUAUACGAUCUUCCGAACAGCAGUAGGCGCUGUCUCGAAAAACGAGGGGACUGAGAAUGCGGGACUCUGGGUGCGGCACUGUAGAUGCA